rnacentral:rRNA from 1 species
AGCGAACGCUGGCGGCAGGCCUAACACAUGCAAGUCGAACGAACUCUUCGGAGUUAGUGGCGGACGGGUGAGUAACACGUGGGAACGUGCCCUUUGGUACGGAAUAACUCAGGGAAACUUGAGCUAAUACCGGAUGUGCUCUUCGGGGGAAAGGUUGAUCGCCAUUGGAGCGGCCCGGGUCUGAUUAGCUAGUUGGUGAGGUAAAGGCUCACCAAGGCUACGUGCAGUAGCUGGCUUGAGAGGAUGAUCAGCCACAUUGGGACUGAGACACGGCCAAAACUCCUACGGGAGGCAGCAGUGGGGAAUCUUGCGCAAUGGGCGAAAGGCUGAAGCAGCCAUGACGGGUGAAUGAUGAAGGUCUGAGGAUUGUAAAAUUCUUUCACCGGGGACGAUAAUGACGGUACCCGGAGAAGAAGCCCCGGCUAACUUCGUG